UACGUAGGGGGCGAGCGUUGUCCGGAGUUACUGGGCGUAAAGCGCACGCAGGCGGUCUGCUAAGUUUGGAGUGACAGUUGGUGGCUCAACCACCAAAGUGCCUUGAAAACUGACAGACUUGAGGGCUUCAGAGGGACACGGAAUUCCGGGUGGAGUGGUGAAAUGCGUAGAGAUCCGGAGGAACACCAAAGGCGAAGGCAGUGUCCUGGGGAGUACCUGACGCUCAGGUGCGAAAGCCAGGGGAGCGAACGGG
rnacentral:rRNA from 1 species